rnacentral:lncRNA from 1 species
CAGCAAAUAUGUGAUGACGCAGACAAUGCAAAAUUCCUUCAGCACGAAGUACAGAAUGUACGCCAAGUACAAAGACCCUACUACAGACACUAUGGAGGAUGUCAUGAGGAUUAGAGCUGCUACUGCACUUGCUGUCAUACCAAGUAGCAUUUGUAGUAUAUAAAACACGAGCCCAAACACACUGUUGGACUGAUUUAUUGCACUGUCCUUUCCAAAGAUGGAACCCAACAGACCGAAUCCUCGACCCCAUCUGGAGGUGAUGGCGGCGGAGCAGCGAACCCUCUCGCUGAGGUCGCACAAGGCCUGGUAGUGGAGAUCGCGGCCCUUCUCCCGCUCCAGGUGGCAGGCGUAGAGGGACAGCAGGAUGCCGGCCGCGCACACGGCGGAGCGGGCCACCCGCUCCCAGCGCGGCACCGACACUCGCAGCAGGACGGGCGCCGCCAUCUUACCCCCUCCC